CAGCUGUCUAGCACCUCUGCAUCCA
rnacentral:misc_RNA from 1 species